rnacentral:rRNA from 1 species
AUUGAACGCUGGCGGCAGGCUUAGCACAUGCAAGUCGAGCGGUAACAGAGAGAAGCUUGCUUCUCUGCUGACGAGCGGCGGACGGGUGAGUAAUGCCUAGGAAUCUGCCUAGUAGUGGGGGAUAACUUGCCGAAAGGUAAGCUAAUACCGCAUACGUCCUACGGGAGAAAGGAGGGGACCUUCGGGCCUUUCGCUAUUAGAUGAGCCUAGGUCGGAUUAGUUAGUUGGUGAGGUAAUGGCUCACCAAGACCGCGAUCCGUAACUGGUCUGAGAGGAUGAUCAGUCACACUGGAACUGAGACACGGUCCAGACUCCUACGGGAGGCAGCAGUGGGGAAUAUUGGACAAUGGGGGGAACCCCGAUCCAGCCAUGCCGCGUGUGUGAAGAAGGUCUUAGGAUUGUAAAGCACUUUAAGUUGGGAGGAAGAGCAGUUAACUAAUAUUUGACUGUUUUGACGUUACCGACAGAAUAAGCACCGGCUAACUUCGUGCCAGCCGCCGCUGUAA